ensembl:lncRNA
UGGAAGCUGCAGGCUGCGGGGCUCACUGCCCCUCACACCCGCCCCGUGCUCCCCGGCUCGCUCCCGCUCGUGUACAGCAUCUGAUCUCGGUGCUAAGCCGGCAGCUGUGGGGCCUUAGGAGACCCCCACCCCGGGUGGCCACGCUCCCUUCCCCUCCUGCCCAUCUUGCAAAGCCACUAGAGGGGGGACGGGGGGGAGGCAGACCCCUCCCUCCGCAUCAACGGGGGCCUCUGAAGCUGGACCAGGGAGGGGGUCCAAACUGCUGGCUUCUGGGUGAGGCCCGAGUAGAAUCCUCAGCCCCCUCCCCAGGGCCGCCAGGGCACCCCAGCAUCGAAGGCCCCGCAGUUCUUGACCAAAGGUGCCACGAGAACCUGCUGCGGCAGUGUGUGCCCCGGUGUGUUGUCCCGCGUGCUCGUGCAGGGGCCACGCGUACAUGGGUGCUCGGCCCCUCCCUCGCCUCGGUAGGGCCUGGGGCCCUGGCUCCAGUCUGGCCAUUGUGGGGCUGGCCCAGAGGUGCCCCCUGCCCCGCUCCUGGGGGUGGUCCGCCCGACCUGUGGGCCUCUGCUGCUCUGGGGGCUGAGCUGGACAGGGGAGACCCCCAUCCCAAGGCUCCCGUUCCUCCCGGGUGUUUGGGGAGGACAGAAAGGGCCUGGAAGCCGUCCCCGAGGGUCUCCCGGCAUCUCCCACCUGCUCCGUGUGCUUCUGACCGCUGAGGCUCUCAGCCCAGCCGGCUCGGCGCAGCGGGAGGCCUCGGCUGCCCUUGGCAGCUUCUGCUGCCUUCUGCUGCCGGGGAGCCGAGCCACGCAUGCCAGCGCAGAGACCAAAGCCCCAGCUGCAGGGCAGGCGUCAGGAGGGGACUCGGUCUCCCGCUGGCCCCCUGGGCCACUGCCCAGGCCUCAGCUGGGCGUGGCCGGAGCCAGCAGCCCUUGGUACCUCUGCCCGGAGGGCGAAGGCAGGAGGGGGAGCCCAGCAGGUCGCAAGCACCUGUGGUCCCAGGAGGGGCGGACACUCUGUCCUGAAGCUUCCUUGGGGGGCUGCCCGCUGCCCCUGGCCCCAGGCUGUAGACCCUGUGCGGGGGCCCCUGGCAGGCAGGAGGGCCCCCUCCCCGUCCCACCCACUUGCACAGGUCAGCCUCCCGGCCCCUCUCCAGCCUUGCUGCUUUUCCGUUUGCCUAGUUAUCCAGCCGAAGUUGCAGUCUGGUUCGCUUUAUUUUUGUACGUGACAUGGUCCCCAAAUCCCAGGCUCCUCCCGUGUCCAACACUGGGUGGGGCAUCACUCAGCUCCGCUUAAGCGCACCCCCCCUCCCCACCCACGUGGCAUAGGAAACAGAUGAGGUCCGGGGUCUGCCAUUUGAAAUGGAAGGUUGGGACCCUCAGUUUGCCCGUCUGUGAAAUGGGUGUGUUGGGCAGCACCAGCUGUGGUCUCUUCUGUGUUCUCGCCCUGCAGAGGGGUCAAGGUCAAAAUGAGCUUCAUGUGCUCUGAUGUGGGGACAGGUGAUGAUCUGGUCCCCAGCUCUCAGCGCGUGGUGGGGGGAGCAAGGCUGCUCACCGGGGUGGGGUCAGGGGUGGGCUGGGCCGGCCGCCUUUGAGGAUGGUGCGACCCUGCCCAGACCCUGGAGCCCGCAGGAGGCUGGGGGGCCGGCUUGGAGGAAGAGCCUUUUGUCCAUGGGCUGCUGCCCGUCAUUCUGACCUCUCUGGGAACCCGGAAGGAUAGGCUCCGUUUCCCGCUUUUCUGUGUGUGGUUUUAUUGUUUUGUUUUUGCACUUCGCCCACGCUGGACAGCGCAGGCCCGGCGGGUCAGUGUGGCCUUGGGGCUCCCGUGCGCCAGCCCAAGGCGGCCUCUGGGGGGCGCGCGUGCGGCUCGAGGAAUCACUUUUUCAGAGAGGAGAGGACGGUGUUUUUUAAAGUUUUAGUUCUGUCUCCCUCCGCAUCUCCUCUCAGAUUCGGGAAGCCCAGAGCUAGGGCCUCAACUCCGGGCAAGGGUCUCUCCGGCCCCCUGUUCCUUGCCCACAGCAUCUGCAGACGAGGGUGGGGACCCGGCUGGGCGGGGGCCAAGGACCCCACCUCCGAGGCCUGUGGGCCUCUCACCCCCAGCCUUGAAGGAGUAAGCUCUCCGCCAGCACUGGGAGCGCCACUGUGUGCCGAGCAUCAGCUAGGGGUGGGAGGGGGCCGGGGGCCUGGCGGGGCCGCACUGGCCCGAGGCCAAUGCGGGAGCUAAGAGUU